CCAACAGGGAUUGCCCUAGUAACGGCGAGUGAAGCGGCAACAGCUCAAAUUUGAAAUCUGGCGUCUUUGGCGUCCGAGUUGUAAUUUGCAGAGGGCGCUUUGGCAUUGGCAGCGGUCCAAGUUCCUUGGAACAGGACGUCACAGAGGGUGAGAAUCCCGUACGUGGUCGCUAGCCUUUACCGUGUAAAGCCCCUUCGACGAGUCGAGUUGUUUGGGAAUGCAGCUCUAAAUGGGAGGUAAAUUUCUUCUAAAGCUAAAUACUGGCCAGAGACCGAUAGCGCACAAGUAGAGUGAUCGAAAGAUGAAAAGCACUUUGGAAAGAGAGUUAAAAAGCACGUGAAAUUGUUGAAAGGGAAGCGCUUGCAGCCAGACUUGCCUGUAGUUGCUCAUCCAGGUUUCUACCUGGUGCACUCUUCUAUAGGCAGGCCAGCAUCAGUUUGGGCGGUUGGAUAAAGGUCUCUGUCAUGUACCUCUCUUCGGGGAGAACUUAUAGGGGAGACGACAUGCAACCAGCCUGGACUGAGGUCCGCGCAUCUGCUAGGAUGCUGGCGUAAUGGCUGUAAGCGGCCCGUCUUGAAACACGGACCAAGGAGUCUAACAUCUAUGCGAGUGUUUGGGUGUCAAGCCCGAGCGCGUAAUGAAAGUGAACGGAGGUGGGAACCUUUCGGGGUGCACCAUCGACCGAUCCUGAUGUCUUCGGAUGGAUUUGAGUAAGAGCAUAGCUGUUGGGACCCGAAAGAUGGUGAACUAUGCUUGAAUAGGGUGAAGCCAGAGGAAACUCUGGUGGAGGCUCGCAGCGGUUCUGACGUGCAAAUCGAUCGUCAAAUUUGGGCAUAGGGGCGAAAGACUAAUCGA
rnacentral:rRNA from 1 species